ensembl:lncRNA
UGUAUCUCUUAAAAAAUGAGGACUCAACCCUGAAAAGGGUUAUAUAGCAGAACUCAGCCCUCUCCUUCUCAGUCAUGUAGAACAGACCUUCAGUACCUUAGCCGAAGAAAUAUCUCAAUGCACGGCAACUGCAGAAAGCUGCUCUCCUCUAUUCCAACCAAGCCAUUGAGAAGAUGUAAAAAAAGCAAAUGUCGAGGGUACCGUGUGAUGUUCCCAUGACAGCUCCCUAGCAUGACCCUAGCAUGGUCAGGCAUAAUAGUCACAGGAAAAGAAACUGCCUCCAGAUAACCCUGGCCAUGAGGGAAGGCUGUGGACUUUCUUGCUGGGAACUGAGCAUGCAUCUUCUGGGCAUUCACGGCAACCAGAGUAAAUUUAAGUGCCCUCAAAUUCUACAGACCCUGCUGUGAAUCUUAUUGCUAAGGUCUACAUCUCUCCAGAGAAAAUACGAUGCUUACAGUGGCUUAUGGCUCAAGAAAAUGUGACUAAAGACUGUGCACACUGAAGAUGAAUGAAGUUGUUGAGAUGAGCAGGAAGCAAACAUAGUGUUUCACAGAAUCACAGAAUGGCCUGGGUUGGAAGGGACCUCAAGGAUUAUGAAUCUCCAACCCCCCCUCCUGAGGCAGGGCCACCAACUUCCACAUUUCCACAUUUCUACAUUGUAUUCAGAAAACUCAGAUAUUUGGAGUGCUAUUGCAGAAAUGAGGGGCAAAAAUGAUAAUGUCUCUCUACUGACCCAGAACCAAUGGAAAUCUGUCUUGUUAGUCUUCUCAUAUAGAAAAUAACCAAUCUGUCAACAAAACCCUACUUAAUGAAAUCCUCAUUUUAUGCUCCACAUUGGAUUCUAUAUGAAAGUGAUGACUGACAAGCUUAUUUGGUUUUAGUUUUGGCAUUUUCUGGAAGGAAAUAACUGCAUAUAUGACUUCUAAAACUUAACAAAAUACAAAUCACCAACAGCCAGUGACAAGGCUCUGUGAACAGCCUUGUUUUGGAGCACACUGCUGUGGGCAUCACAUCAAACCUCCCUGGACACUGAGUGAAGAAAGAGAGACAGUAGGAGCAAAAAAAUAUAAAUACUGCAUGUUAAAAAAAUUCUCUCCCCCUUCCUUUCCCUUCCUUUCCUGUCCUCACACAUACUUUGGCAUUUAUCUACCAUGACAAGCCUCAUUUCUCCUUUUAAAAGAAUGCAUAAAUGAGCUAUGAAUAUUUGAUCCUUUUUUAAACAAAUAUUUUGGUUUGACAAGUCACAGCAGAUAAGACUACCCAAGAUGGUAGCCAGCUGCUCUGGAGGAAGGAGCAUAGGUAGGGUGGGAGGCCAGUGGUGGAGGCAUCACCUUUUCUGAGACACUGCACACAGGCUGCUUUGUACAACCGUCCAUUGUCCACAGGAGUAACACUUUGCUGUUGUAAACCUCCUGUUUUUAUGCAGAUUACUUCAAAGCAAUUGAUAAUUCUGCAUAUUUUUUUGCAGAGGACAAAUUCUGCCAUGCUUAUGCACCACUUCUGUCCAUGCAUGAGCAGUUCAGCUGACUUCAGUUUGAAUAUUCACAGUUUAUAGUCCAACACCUCAGUGUGUCCUUUCAAGAUGAUCGCUUAAACAGUUCAUAAUUCUUUCUGUCAGGGCUUUUCAGAGAUUUUUCUCUGUGAUGUUGGACAAAUUGAUUCCCACUGUAACCAAUCCAAGUUAGCUGCUUUAUUGAGAAGAUGUUAGCCUCACAUGACAGUGAAAUUCAAAAAAUGGAAUGAAUAAAGGUUUUUAUUUGGACACUCAUUUAUGGAUUUGUCCAUAUCAUAUUUCAGGGUUGACUUCCAGGCAUUUUCUAAUCAGCAUAAAUUCUUCCCAGGUUUUUAUUGUACUAUGCUGAUAUUUUAAAUCAGCGAUCAAUCAGCAGAUUUUCAAAUACCUGCUUCUAUCUGAUUUGCACUAAAGUUGCGAGCAUGUAAAAGGAGUAUUUAAAACUAAACAAACCUAGAUGCUUGUGUGUGAACUUAGCUAAAGUGCCCUUUUUCUCUUUAAAAUCUAUUUAAGUUAUGUUUUCUGGUAGGAUAACACAGAUGGCUUUGGGGGGAUUUUUUGCUUUGUCAAAAUUGAC